rnacentral:lncRNA from 1 species
GGCCGCCAUCAGGUCUCUUCUCAAGUGAAUAAGGCAUAUAGGUUCCUAGAAUUCUGUCCCAUAUGUCAAAGUAGACAGAGAAGUUGUAUUUGGUACCAUAAAGCUGAUGGUGGACAUCAUGGUAUGCCGAAUUGUUGUUAAAAAAGAGGUAAAAGGGGUUUCCGGGAAGCUUCAUCCCGCAAUGAUCAUCCACUAAUUUAAGGAUGGUAAAGGAGGAGAAAAACAUGGCAAUCCGAGGAGACAUGCCGGAGAGGAGUACAGCUAAUGUUCCGCCCAUGGUGUCCAAGAACCCCUCAAUUGGAUGCAUAUACUGUCCUCCAAAUGAAUAGGGAACAACCAGCCGGUGAUGCGGAACAUGAAGGUGUUUGUAUAAAAACUUGUUCUGAUGCAAGUACCAAUGCACAAAAAACGACCAUGUAUCUAUCACCACCAUUGCUAUCACCAAUUGCUUGGCUAGAAGAAGCAAGGUUAGUGAUUUCUUUGGAGAUGCCUCACCAUCUUUUUCUCUUGUUACCUGCAACCAAAACAAAUUAAGUUCCAAGUUCUGAUACAAAUAGAAAAUGGUGGUGCUCUGAUAUUUUAUCUGAUCCUUGAAAGUUACAAACUUACAAUAAAAAAGAAGAAAAAAUUUUGUUUAUAAUUGCAUCAAAAGAAAGGAAAAGGAAAAUAAAAAGAAAAGCCAUUAAUUACUACUCAUACCGCAUACGUGAAGAGGUUAAUAGCAAUUGACAUGACUUGAUGGCAAAGAACGGCUUUGAAGACUUCCUUUCUGGAAACCAAAUUCUUCUCCUCCUCUUCUUUCUUGGAGUGCAACUUGUACUUCUCAAACCUUGACUCAAACAUCACAUACAUACCUGAGUAU